UUAAUGAAACUUGCCAAACACAAGUAUUUUAUGAUUUCAUGGCGUGUCUUUAACAUUUCAUGCAUGAAUGAGAAUCAGUGUGGCACUUCACAUCAUUGGAGCAUGAAUUAAAAGCGAAGGCUUUUACCGUAAUGAACUGUGGCUGGUCGUCAGUUAAUCUUAGUGAUUCUGAUCGUGAGGUCUAAAUAAUUUGUGGCCGACAAACAUGUACCUGAUUUGGUGGAGUCAUUGUGGUUUUAAUCAAUGUAUUAGAGGAACAAUGAGGCUAUUAUGCUGAUUUUGACCUAAUCCAAAUGAGUCAUUAUUUCUUAUAGACAAGUCUUUAAUCUAAUCACACUCUGUCGUUCACUCCAUAUGCUUCCCUAUUGCUCUCCACUCCUCUCUCCUUCAUACUCAGAAUAGGUCAAGGUGUCCUCCUCCCUCUAGCCAAGAUAACCGCAAAUGUAUGACAUCAUUGCUAAUGCCUCCAGCACGGACCACCACUUUAUCAUCCUUGCCGCUUUCCAUUCCCCUCCUGCUCACCUUACCUCUCCUGCUAUGAGCUGUACACUCACUCACCAUUAUCCUGCAAGGUUUCUCCAGAGACCUGCUGUAACUGCUAUUCGACAGACAUAACCGACUGUGUUUCAGGGAACUGUGUUUUUUUACACAAUAACCAAAGAGAUGAUGAUAACCAAAAACAAACAGAUGGCCAUAACCAAAAACAAACAGAUGUUUGUUGCCUUAGUAACCCGGGCAGGAACAGUAAAGGCUUCACCCUCUUUCCAGAAAAGCAACAGCUCAUUUGCAGGAUCCUUUGGAAGACUAAACAGGAACAGAAAACACCAUCCGUCUCGAUGAGAUCAUCAGUUUUGUGAGAUGGGUUUACCGACAUUAAAGUGCUGACGACAGCCGCCAUAAACAACACGGGUGUGCCCAACAUUAUCUCAAUACAUUGCCAUGAGAGCCUCAGCUAUUUUUGGGUUCAAGUCCAGCAUGAACUGGUUACAUGAGCAGGGUGGCAAAAGACAAGAGUCGCAAAGGAAACCGGCCACAAUGGACGGGGCGGCUGGCUUAGUCACAGAGGCCGGUCUGAGUCACGACAGCAGUGUCUGGCUUGUUGAUGUUCACGUCUGAGUGGUGGGCCAGCCUUUGUGUUUUUUACCUCUGUGAUUGUGCCAGUCUCUAUCUCUGUCUUUCCUCUUCUCUCUUUGUUCUGUUCCACUAUUUAUCUGAUCCUAUUCCUCUGUAAUUCACAAAUAUUGACUUGACUCAAGAGCUGCAGCACUCAUCUGCAUCUGCUUUUACUGUUCAUUUGUAUCUUGUUAAUGAAAAUGUCAUCAUCAAGCGAGCUGUCAUGGACACAGACAUAAAUAUCUCUUUCCUAAACACAGCUUGAGAGAAUGUCAAGUCAUUAACGUUGAGUGUCCCUAAAUCAGACCCUUCAGAAAAAAGUUAAAACAUUGCCUGCCGUCUGCAGUGCAAACUGGUCUUAAAUUGUCCACUCUGCGUUUUGGCUCAUCUAAAGCCUUUCACAACCAGCUAUUUCUAACUAAAACUUCAUGUUGAUAACAUAAACCGCGUUCAUUUACAGAGCAGAGCAAGUGAACACUUUGUUCUAUGAAAAUCUGUGUAAAUAAGCUUACAAAGCCCCGCUGCAUCUCCAUGAGACAAUGCCAUUAAACAGAAACAGUUUGCCCAGUUUCUCAUGCCAGCGUGGUUUUGUAACCAGUGUAAUUUAAUUAAGCUGGGCUUCACUGGAGCCGUUUACUGGCCUACAUGUAAACAUUAUCUCCUAAAACUACAGCAUCUUAAAUAGAUUUGUGUUUAGAAGCAUUUUAGUUACAGUCACAGAGAUCUUGGUGAAAGUGCA